UACGAAGGUGGCAAGCGUUGUUCGGAUUUACUGGGCGUAAAGGGAGCGUAGGUGGUUAGGUAAGCCCUCCGGGAAAUCUUCAGGCUUAACCUGAAAAGGUCGGGGGGGACUGCCUAGCUAGAGGGCGGGAGAGGAGCGCGGAAUUCCCGGUGUAGCGGUGAAAUGCGUAGAUAUCCGGAGGAAUACCAAAGGCGAAGGCAGUGUCCUGGCUGGCAUCUGACGCUGAGGCGCGAAAGCUAGGGGAGCGAACAGG
rnacentral:rRNA from 1 species